rnacentral:misc_RNA from 1 species
AACGGUCUAUACCUGCGGUACCUGCGGAGGGAUCAUUAUCAAUUUACAGCGGACUUCGGUCCUGUCUGCACCCUUGUCUUUUGCGUACUAUAUGUUUCCUCGGUGGGCUUGCCUGCCGAUAGGACACUUAUAAACUCUUUUGUAAUUGCAAUCAGCGUCAGAAAACUACAAUAGUUACAACUUUCAACAACGGAUCUCU